rnacentral:rRNA from 1 species
GACGAACGCUGGCGGCGUGCUUAACACAUGCAAGUCGAGCGGAAAGGCCCUUCGGGUACGUCGAGCGGCGAACGGGUGAGUAACACGUGAGAAACCUGCCCUGGACUUUGGGAUAACCCUCGGAAACGGGGGCUAAUACCGGAUAUGACAUUCGACCGCAUGGUUGUUUGUGGAAAGUUUUUCGGUCUGGGAUGGUCUCGCGCCUAUCAGCUUGUUGGGUGGGGUAAUGGCCUACCAAGGCGACGGACGGGUAGCCGGCCUGAGAGGGCGACCGGCCACACUGGGACUGAGACACGGCCCAGACUCCUACGGGAGGC